GUCGAACGCUGGCGGCGUGCUUAACACAUGCAAGUCGAACGAGUGGCGGACGGGUGAGUAAUGCUUGGGAAUCUACCUUAUGGAGGGGGAUAACUACGGGAAACUGUAGCUAAUACCGCGUACCAUAGGAUGAGCCCAAGUGGGAUUAGGUAGUAGGUGGGGUAAAGGCUCACCAAGGCGACGAUCCCUAGCUGGUCUGAGAGGAUGACCAGCCACACUGGAACUGAGACACGGCCCAGACUCCUACGGGAGGCAGCAGUGGGGAAUAUUGCACAAUGGGGGCAACCCUGAUGCAGCCAUGCCGCGUGAAUGAAGAAGGCCUUCGGGUUGUAAAGUUCUUUCAGUAGGGAGGCGUUACCUGCAGAAGAAGCACCGGCUAACUCCGUGCCAGCAGCCGCGGUAAUUC
rnacentral:rRNA from 1 species